AACAAAGGCAGAAUAUUAAUACACAACAUCAAAUAAUAGGGGAAAAAAAGAGAAUUGUAUUUACCUUUAUUUAAGCAAAGAAUUAAGAUAAUCACACAGCAUCAGAAGGGGGUACGGUCACAUGGUUAUCAGCAUUGUGUAUCAGAUUCAUUAGUCAAGCCCAGUGAAAAUGAUGCUCUUUUCUACUUCAAUUUCCCCUUCCUGAAGUACCUUUGGCAUGAUUGAAUUAAUUUUUCUCUACUCAUUUUGAUGUCUUCUGCCAUCCACAUUACAGAUAUUACAUUUCUUUCUCAACCAAAGCACGUCUACACUUAUAAAUGUGUCACUGCUGAUUUUGGUUCAGCUCUCCACGUAGCUUAAUUCAUCAUCUUCAGUUUUUUUAAAAGUUGCUUAUAUGUUGCUGACGUAAAAUAAAACAGACAUUUAAUGGAUGAAAGAUUUUUAUUGGCAUCCAAUAAAAAAAACUCUGCUUUGCUUUCAUUCCACCUCUUCUGUCAGAAAUUCUGCGGUGUAUAUACAAUGAAUGUUUCACUGUUCAACAAGGUACAGAAAUAGCCAGCUAAUUCAAUGCCCUGCCAUUUUAUGUGACGUGUCUUCUGUUUCUUCCAGCUGGCAAAACUAUUAGAGUCACUGGAGUACAGUGAUGAGGCUGUGUGAUUCCCUUGUGAGGCUGAACUGAAAAGUAAUAUGGGCUGAAAAAGAUGGGGCAGAACAGCGGGUGUCAUGGAGAUAGAAAUGGUUUGAUGGCAGAAAUCAAUGGCAUCGCUUCAGGCACUUAAUGGGAUUUUUCUUUCUGAAAAAGGAGCACUUUAUGUGGAGUAAACCCUGUUUUCAAGUGUGUGUUGUGCUAAGCAAUAAUGUUUUACAGCAUGCUGAAAGAAGAUUUUCAAAGUUUUACAAAUCAUGUCAUUACAAAGCUUUUGUAUGACAUUGCACCGCCUUCCCAACCAACGAAAAACCCCUGAACUUACUGUCAUUCACAGUGUUAAAAAAUUCUUUACACUCUUAUUUUCUUAGAUGCAUUACACCUUCAGUUGUGCAAUAUUCAUGCAAAGGUGCAUAUAAAAAUUUCUUUUCAACAAAAUUAGUAAAUGUGUUGGAUUGAGCUACCCACACCUCAUUUUCUGAAAUGUUUUUCCCAAAAUGUAAUAACUAUAGAGACUUUUCAUUCCAUAUUUGGUGGUGACUUGAACAAAAUUGUGCUGUGGACACAAAUUUUGGUGACUGUUAAUUUACGUUCGGGCGAUGUACGUUUAACGAGACACUUGAACCAAACGGAAAUGGAGAACAUAACAUAGCAUUCACAGGCGGAUGAUAAAACGAACAUAAUAUAUACAAAAUAAGGAUUUAUAAUGCAAUAGAUUAUAUUAGAAAAUAAAAAUAUAGAUAUUAAUAAUUGCUGGAUGUUUUACAACAUUUGUGCAAAGUUUUGUUUGAUUAGUUCAAAAAAGAAAAAUCUGAAGAGAGCAUGAAAACUUCCAGACUGGUAGACUUUUUAAAAAAUUCUGUUGUUUAGCUGCACGCUCUGGCCAAAUCUGCAGCUGACAUCUUGUUUUUAAUAACGGCCAACAUGGUGUAGUUCCUCAAGUCGGAAAUUCUGAGUACCCAGUUGUAAAUUUUUUAUGGAAGCCCCCUCAACUUGGAUUUCCCACUCAGAAAGUCGGAACAGACCAACAUACCCCGAAUUAGCAAGCCAAGAUGGCGGCACUGAACGUAACCAGUAGCAUCUCUUCUGCUACUGUUGUGUAUUUUUCACUCACUAAAUAAGCCAUACACAGAGCACUGAUCAGGCUUUAUCCAUGAAUGUGUGCACAAAAAAUAAGUAUUAUACUGUAUUGCUAGUGACAACUGAAUGGCUCUACUUAGCUAAGAACCAAAACAAAUCCUGUUUUCCGUCACUUUUUCUGGAACGUGCUAACUCGUGAGUGACGUCACUCCUGAGUUUUAACUUCAAGUUCUGAGGUAUCUGAAAUAGGUUACUGGUUAGAACAGGUAACUCAUAUACAGUAAAGCUAAUGUCGAGGCCUGGGUUUGAAUUUGCUCCUGUCCUAUAAAGGUUAAAAAACACAAAAAUAUGUAUGUAUAUUUAAAAAAAGCACCUAUUAAAAUGCAUGUUUUGAGAGCACACUGAAAAGGUAAAAGCCUCUGCGCUUCUUUUACAUGUGGCUAAAAAGUAGCUGCACCUCUGAUUAGGGCUGUGUCACAUCGAAUUGUUCGCAAUAAUACCGGUGUAAAGUUUUACGUGAUAUUAAAAUGUUACAUUGCGAUAUUAUUGUUAUAGGAAUGUCAUUAGUUUACACUCCCCAGUGUGAACAACAAUGCAACAAGCCCGGACGUGUCUGUGCUUUGUAAAGUAAGCAGAAAAAGAAAAUUGUUCUUAGUAAAGAUUGAAAUAACAAACUCGUUUCACCACUUGAUGCUAAAAACAUAUGCUGUUGAGUGCAACCAGGUUGUGAAGGACGAGAUUCUAGCAGCUGGUGACGUGCGACCCAAAUGUAAACAACUCAACCCAGCAAUGCUAGCUGCUUUCCAUGUGACAGGAAGAGCAAACAGUGACACAAUGGAAAAGCAGGAGUUUAGCUGGUCAAAGAGCUCGACCCAAGAUUCAACAUCCCAGAGUCAGCUAACCUGUGAAGCAGUUUUCAUCAAAUUGAAAUGACGAUCGUGCAUUUGAUCGAGCUUGUCCUGGUGACUACUGAAGUUCCUCUCUGAGCUGAGAGUUUUCCAGGCAUUUCUCGGUGUGCUGAACCGACAGCAUCUCCAGCUCCUUCUGCAAUAACUGGAUCUCCUUCCUUUGAUGACAAAGCAAAGCACAGAUGACGACGAACGGGAAAGCAAGCAGUUGUCUCAUCCUCCAUGAUCUUGGCUGGUUUAUUAAUUCAUAAAUCUCAUUGCAAGUAAAGAUUGUGUUUUAAAAAGCUAUUAUGAAAGAAUGUGUAUUUGUCAUUUGCCGUCUGUGUUUAAUAGAUUUCCAAUGAUGAUCACUCUCAUUAAUGUCAUUUUUAAUUAAAACUGCCAUCCCAGUUCAGACUUUAUUCUGGUGCAACCUAUUAAAGCCUUAUCACACUCAAAAUAAGACAAAAGUAUGUCUUAUGACAGAUUAUACUACCAAAUAUUCAUAUAAACAACAUUAAUGGAUCUGCACAGGAAGCCAUAAAGGGAAACUGAGAGAUGAGUCAUUCAACAGAAAGCCCUGUAUGUGUGUUUGUAUAUAUCGUAUAUGCACUUUAGUCAGUCUGUCUCAUGAAUAAAUGAAAAGUUAAAACAACAAUGAAAAAGGCUGUUAUUGUUGUAGCUUUCACAUCUGUAUAUAUGCAUCCUACAGAUUUACAAUCUUUUUAAAUGAAAAUGAUGUUGCACACAGGGGGAAAAAUAGCUCUAACUAACCUGCAGUUCUAGAAACAUUUCAUACCGUUAACACUGUUACCUGCUCACGAUAUGAAGAACAAGUAACAAGCACAAAUACAGUACAACACCUCUACAGUAAAUGCUGCAAUAAAAUA